CGGGGCUGGCUGAGCAGAAAAAUGCCAUUGUUGUUCCUCACAUUGCAUCUGCUUCGAAGUGGACGAGAGAAGGAAUGGCAACACUUGCUGCUCUAAAUGUCCUGGGUAAGAUCAAAGGAUAUCCAUUGUGGGCUGAUCCAAACAAAGUUGAGCCUUUCUUAGAUGAGAAUUCCCCUGUUCCAGCUGCUUGUCCAAGCAUUGUCAAUGCCAAAAAACUUGGUCUGACUGCUUCAAAG
rnacentral:misc_RNA from 1 species